GCUGGGAUAGCUCAGUUGGCAGAGCACAAUACUCUGAAUCUCAGGGUUGUGGGUUCGAGCCCCAUGGUGGGCA